rnacentral:rRNA from 1 species
UACAGAGGUCCCGAGCGUUGUUCGGAUUCAUUGGGCGUAAAGGGUGCGUAGGCGGUUUUCUAAGUUUGAUGUGAAAUCCCGGGGCUCGACCCUGGAAUUGCAUUGAAUACUGGGAGACUAGAGUACUGGAGAGGAAACUGGAAUUUACGGUGUAGCAGUGAAAUGCGUAGAGAUCGUAAGGAAGACCAGUGGCGAAGGCGAGUUUCUGGACAGUUACUGACACUGAGGCGCGAAAGCGUGGGGAGCGAACAGG